GCCCUACGGGAGGCAGCAGUAGGGAAUCUUCCACAAUAGACGAAAGUCUGAUGGAGCAACGCCGCGUGAGUGAAGAAGGGUUUCGGCUCGUAAAGCUCUGUUGGUAGUGAAGAAAGAUAGAGGUAGUAACUGGCCUUUAUUUGACGGUAAUUACUUAGAAAGUCACGGCUAACUACGUGCCAGCAGCCGCGGUAAUACGUAGGUGGCAAGCGUUGUCCGGAUUUAUUGGGCGUAAAGCGAGUGCAGGCGGGUCCAUAAGGUUGGUUGUAAAACCUU
rnacentral:rRNA from 1 species